UACGUAGGGGGCAAGCGUUGUCCGGAAUCAUUGGGCGUAAAGAGCGUGUAGGCGGUCCGGUAAGUCGGCUGUGAAAGUCCAGGGCUCAACCCCUGGGAUGCCGGUCGAUACUGCCGGACUAGAGUUCGGAAGAGGCGAGUGGAAUUCCUGGUGUAGCGGUGAAAUGCGCAGAUAUCAGGAGGAACACCGGUGGCGAAGGCGGGUCUCUGGGCCGAUAUUGACGCUGGAGGAGCGAAAGCGUGGGGAGCGAACAGG
rnacentral:rRNA from 1 species